GAUGAAGAACGUAGCGAAAUGCGAUACUUGGUGUGAAUUGCAGAAUCCCGUGAACCAUCGAGUCUUUGAACGCAAGUUGCGCCCGAAGCCAUUAGGCCGAGGGCACGCCUGCCUGGGCGUCACACGUCGUUGCCCCCCCCAUCUACUCCUUCGGGAUUGCGGGGGGCGGAUGAAGGCCUCCCGUGCGCCUCGCCGCGCGGUUGGCAUAAAUGCCAAGUCCUCGGCGACGCACGCCACGACAAUCGGUGGUUGCGAAACCUCGGUUGCCCGUCGUGUGCGGUCGUCGCGCAUCGAGGGCUCGAAAAAAUUGCCGGGCUUCGGCUCGACUUUCAACGCGACCCCAGGUCAGGCGGGGUUACCCGCUGAAUUUAAGCAUAUCAAUAAGCGGAGGA
rnacentral:misc_RNA from 1 species